AUGAGCCAAAUUGAAAGUGUUUGGGUGAAGUUUAAGCUAGAAUCUUCUGCUGAGAAGUUCUAUGGCUUCUUCAAGAAGAACCAUGUAGGGGAAUUGUUUCAUAUGUUUCCUCAGCAUUUCAAGAGUUGUCAGCUUGUGGAAGGAGAAAAUUUCUCUGUUGACAGUGUUAUACACUUGAAAUACUAUCUUGAUUUACAAUCAUGGAUGUACAAGAGUAGAUUAUCCAAAGAUUAUGAAUUAGGGCAAUUGCGAUAUUUCAAUCUCAAAAGAAUAUUAAAAAAAAGUCGGAAGCAAACCUUAUGGAGCUAAAG